AGUGAACGCUGGCGGUAGGCCUAACACAUGCAAGUCGAACGGCAGCACAGUAAGAGCUUGCUCUUACGGGUGGCGAGUGGCGGACGGGUGAGGAAUAAAUCGGAAUCUACUUUUUCGUGGGGGGUAACGUAGGGAAACUUACGCUAAUACCGCAUCCGACAUACGGGUGAAAGCAGGGGAUCUUCGGACCUUGCGCGAUUGAAUGAGCCGCUGUCGGAUUAGCUAGUUGGCGGGGUAAAGGCCCACCAAGGCGACGAUCCGUAGCUGGUCUGAGAGGAUGAUCAGCCACACUGGAACGGAGACACGGUCCAGACUACUACGGGAGGCAGCAGUGGGGAAUAGUGGACAAUGGGCGCAAGCCUGAUCCAGCCAUACCGCGUGGGUGAAGAAGGCCUUCGGGUUGUAAAGCCCUUUUGUUGGGAAAGAAAAGCAGCAGGUUAAUACCCCGCUGUUCUGACGGUACCCAAAGAAUAAGCACCGGCUAACUUCGUG
rnacentral:rRNA from 1 species